ensembl:lncRNA
GUUUGCUGUUCGGUGCUGAGGGGUCCCGCUUCCCCACUUUGCUCCUUGGCUUUCCUGGGGGAAAGCUGUAUCCCCUCGCUUGGAAAUGCAGCUCUACCUCCCCAGGCAUUCAGCCACAAAAGCAGACAUCUGCUUCCCCCCAGUGCACGGCUAUCACCUGCCCGGCCAGCACAGACCUACCACGCUUCAAAAACUACACUGCUCUGGUGGUAGAUAUCAUCGGCUGGAACUGAAACUCGAAUGUUAAAUGCCAGAAUAUGAGAAGUUGCCACCUGAGAGCAUGGCUAACACAGAGCAGUGCAGGAAGCCCGUGUCUGAGCAGAGGGCCGCAGUGUGCCCGGCUUCACCAGAAGGUGAUGUGAGAAUAGAUGAGAAAUACAAACAUUGACUCACUGCAUCGUACAAGGCAGGGCUCCGAGGGGUCAGAGCAUCCCCUCUCAUCUCCAAGCCAUAACUUAAGAAACAAAAUACAUACAUCAAGGCCAUGGAAACAAACCUAAAAUUGCUUUAAGGACUGGGAGUUUCAGCUUGUUACGUGUGGGCUGAUCCGUGGUUCCUACUUUCAGAUCCAAGAACCUGCUAUAGGCCCAAAGGAAAGGGCCUUUGGUCAGGCCCAGUCCUGCAGUCAGACACUGAAAUUACCUGCUCAGAUGGCUGCCUUAAGGGGGUAAAGCUGCAUCAUCUGGGGAAUGUGAAGCUCCACCCAUCUAAAGAAUACUCUACAACCAGGACAGCUUUUUGCUGGCAUUAAGGGGAAACGUAUUAUACCUGCAUGGCUGGGGGGUCGUUAGGGGGUGCUUUGGCACGUGAUAAUCCAGAAAAAAAAAAAAGAAAAAAGCACUUUGCAGAGUUGUUUUCAACAAAGCAAGGCCAUGUAGCCUCAAGACUAGCAGGAGCAGAGAUAGUUGUGCAAACAGAAGGGUACCUGCUGCUUGUUUUAAAGCAGUCCUGGAUACAGGGUUUAUUCCUGCGAGUCUUUCACUGCGCCGUGCUCCCACUGAACUAAGUGUUGUUGCAUUACAAAGAAACAGCAAGAUCUGUUUUAAUUAUAAAACACCGAUUGUAAAAAGCUAGAUUUAAGAAAUGUUGGCACGGAGCUAUCACUGAAUAUGACUAUAAAGCAAAAAAAAAAAUUAAUUUGUACUUCAAAAAAAAUAACUACAACCUUGCUAAAAUUUCUGCAGUUUGAAUGCAAGGAGCCCAGGCUGCUCCAAUUAAAUCCAUAAACAAAGCGGGGUUGGGAGAAGAAAGCCAUGAUCCACCUUACAGUGCUGCUGUGUGCAGUUAAAGGACAUCUGGCCGCUGUGACAGCAUGUGGUCCCCAAGUCCAACCCCAACCCCAACCCACCCCAUCGUGCCCACAUCCCUCAGUGCCACAUCCCCACAGCUCUGAACACCUCCAUGGACGGUGACCCCCCACCCCUGGGCAGCACCACUCCUUCUGAGAAGAAAUUUUUCCUAAUGCCCAACCUGAACCUCCCCUGGAGCAACUUCAGGCAUUCCCUCUCAUCUCAUCUGUGAAAAAAAUCACAAGCUGUAAAUAAAACCAAGGAUACUCACAUUCAUCAGCCCCACUCGUACCCAGGAUGAUUUUCAAAGACUUUCCCAGCUAUCCGUUGUCAUUGCUGCUUUUCUCUAUGCAAAAUCCUCCUGCUGGCCACAAAGGGAAAAGGUGCGACUGGACAAAUCCCUUCCCUUUGCAAAGACCCGCUGCACUUCUGGCCCAAUGAUGAACAUUUUAGAAACUUCCGGGGUCCCAAACCCAAAGAAUUGGCAGCCAUCAUUAUGUGCCCUUCAGCUGUCCCAAGGAACAAUUGUCUGUCAGUGCUAUCUGCCAACAGGUAGGUUUAUGCAUUCCCUGCGUGGGAGAAAGCACUGUGCUUUGCCAGACAAAAUGCAAUGAGGACAGAGUCUACUGAGGAUGGACCAAGAAAUAUGCUAUGUGGCACAGAUAUCAUAAGAACAGCCUCACACGCUCCGCAAUCAGUAUUUCACAUUGGCCUCUCUGAGGUGUAAAUGGCAAUACAAGGUGUUAGGCUACAACAAACGUGAAAGCAUCUGCCAGGACUCCGCUCUCUCAAAUGGGGUUUCAUAAAUGACCACCUUCCAUGGAGGCUGUUGGGUUGGUUUGAAGUUUUGGUUGUUCGUUUCUUGUUUGGUUGGUUGGUUUUCCUCAUUUUGUGCAUUUUCAUUACUUUCUUAUUCCCCAAAAGUCAUGAAGAGUUACAAAACAGAAGAGAAGAACUAAAGGGUAUUUAUUGGUGUUGGGGAGAGAAGAUCAGUUGGCAUGCCUAAUAGAAGACUUCUAUUUUUGCCUACUGUGGUGGAGGUUCUAUCAACAGCACACAUGCUUUUCAAGUGCUAGCCAAAAUAAUUAUUCUCUCCUUCUGUGGGGGGAAAAAAAUCCACUAAAUCAUGAAUAUUCAGCAGGUUGAUUAACGACAUAGUAAUCCUUUAGCUAAAAUCUCUGCGCCUUAAAAUACCAUGAACGCUAGCUGCCAGUUACAUGAAUUAAAAGUAUAAAAAUAACUUGAUUUCCAGAGGUUAUCUCAUCCAAAUUACUUCAGAAUAUCCAGCAAGCAGCUAGGGCAGACUGGACAUCCUUGGUAUUAGUUAGCACAGCUGGGGUUCCUUGUUUGCAGGAUUCAGGUGGUGCCACCCAGGAGUUGCCAGCCUUUCAUUUUUCUCUCAGACACUUGAGAAUUCCUGAUUAUUUAACUUGAUUUUUAUUUUUGUGCUGUCUGAAACCACCACGAGUGUCCCCCCCAUGCUAGGUCAGAUGAAUGCAAGCAUCCCCAUUGCUUAUGGGUUCUUUCCUUUUCACGCUGGUGUUUUCUCCAUGCAGGAGUCUGCCCCAUGAGGAGCUGAAGGCUGCUGUGGGAUGCACGUAGCACACACUCAGCUGCCAGCAGCACCAUCAGAACUUGGGGAAUCUCCGCUGCAAUACAACCAGAAGCAAAAGGUUGCUCUGCACAGGGCUGCACUGUGCAUGCACUGCGAGAGCCACCAACAGCAUUACGUUGCACUGAUCACUUGAGGCCCAAUUUAGUGAAAUGAGUAAGCAUUUGCAAAAAAAAAAAAAUCUUUUUUAAAGUUGAUGGCACAUUGUGUGCUCCUUCAGGAUUCAUUUCUGGCAGUAAAUUAAGCAUGUAUUUAACAUCAAGGAGUUAAGCCUUUAUCUCCAGCCUUACAAUUCUCCUUUGCUACGCCACACAAAAGCAACUUUUCCCCCAGUUUUAUCUUCAAAGUUUGGAAACGUAUUUAGCUCUACAUUACAAUGAUUCUAUUCAUAUUUCAUGAAUUUUUAAGUUCAGACUGUGAGCAUGGACAGCUCAUCACUGACACAUCAGUGAAAUGCUGUGAAAAACAAGCAACAUAUUGUGCUUUUAGCUUAUGAGAUUGCUUUAUGGUUCCCUCAAGGAUAUUAAAAAGAGAUCUUCGCAAGGAUUAUCAAUAAGUAUCUUUCAGGAUCAGCACUUCUGAAGUUUCCAGAACGGCUUCAAAUCUUGACUGAGUUUGGAAAUGAAAGAACCCACUAAGAAACAGCAAAAUCAUAUUUUAAAGCUCAAAUAUUCUUCAGUUUUGCUGCUUUGCAUUUCAGACUCUGGUUAUCACUGUGAAUGCUAAUUCCUACAUCGUUUUCUUAUUGAAGCUAGUUUUAAGUUUCAACUUCUUUAUCAAAAACAGAUAGGGAAAAGAGAAACUUCACUGCAAUUUUGACAAAGCAUUAAAAAAACAUUUUUAAUAAGUGAUUUAAAUACUGGCUUUUUGGAUGAUCAGAAAAGAAUCCCCGUUAGCUUUGCUAUAUUAAACAAGAUACCUGCAUAGCCCAUAUUAUUACAGCACCUAAUCAUCUCACAGCCCUUCAGAAUAUUUCAUUUGAGCUAGGAAAUACUGUUACUUCAUGUUACAUGUACAAACAAAAAGGUACCUAAAGACCUUUGGAAAAGGGGCUCUACAUUCCCAAGGAAAUUAAGAGGCAAUAAAUCAACCCUGCCAGGAUCAAACCAAUAGCCUUUAGAACCAGAGCUCUGUUUCACAUCAGCAUGAAAUCAAUGAUAUGAAGUUCAUGUCCCCUUGGUAGGACAUGGGGAAAUGGAACAUUAAGACUGGAAAUAAGGAAAAAAGUUUACGGUAAGGGGGUGGAGGCAUUGGCACAGGUUGCCCAGAGAAGCAGCGGUGCACCAUCCCUGCAGACAGCCAAGGUCAGGCUGGAGGGGCUCUGAGCACUGAUGGAGCUGUGGGUGUCCCUGUGCACUGCAGGGAGUUGGACCUGAUGGCAUUUAAGGGUCCCUUCCAACUCAAACCGUUCUAUGAUUGUGUGAUAAGUUCAAGGGUAACCUACAGCCCCUCCUUCAGCAGUAGAGUACCUCCCUGACAAGGAAAAGAAGGGAAAUCGACAAAUCUCACUAAGCACAAUUUGCAGAGUACCACUGUUCCUAUCAACACUGGAGCAUCCUUUUAUUUGACUGUCAGAAGCAUCUCAGAGCAUGAAAAAAAGAAGUCCGUCUGCUUGGAUACAAACAAACCUUCCAAGGUUCAGUUUUUCUCCCUAAAAGCUCAACUGUGAGUUUUACCUCAAUAGAAGACCUCCUAGAAAUGGAGCAUCCCUGCCCUGCUGCACACUGAUCCUGGCCCUGUGGACUCUCUAGAUGCUGCAGCUCAUGCUUAAGGUCAACUAACCAUCCUAUCCCUUACAUUAAGUCCUCAGUUCUGGAUAAAGGGGAAGACCCAAAGAUUUUUGGAAGCUACAGACUGCUGGGGUGCAACUUGUGGCUCCCCAGGCACAAGCAGGGUGCAGAUGCAGCAGGUGUGCUGAAGAAGCAUCACUCAAAACUCAGCUGCAGUGCAGAUGCAGGUAUCAGUGGAAAACUGGCACCUGCUUUUUCCUCCUUAUCUAAUAGAGCUCUCUUUGUACUGAUGAGAAAAAAAAAAGGCAUCUUGUUAAAUAAAAAGCAAUAAGAAAUUACUGUGAAUUUUACAAGCCAGUGCACACAUACUUGUUACUUUAGGUCUUUUUCCUGUAAUCCUUUUCCAGAUAAUUAAGAUAUCUCUUGCACUGAUUUGUGUUUCAGCUAUGUUCCAGUCAUGCCACGGCAGCUUUCAUCCUACUGUGACUCUGAAUGGUGCUGACCAUCUGGAAGUAGCACACAGUGUUUUAACCUUAAGAAUGCAAACCUUCCAAUAAAGAGAUGACAUCUGUGAAUUUACAAAAUGGCACCACAGUUCCUAAGGGAGAAAAACUUAUUUCCUCAACUAAUCUCCUUAGAGAGAGAGAGAGAGAGAGAGAGAGAGAGAGAG